rnacentral:rRNA from 1 species
AAAUUGAUGUGAAUACAGAAGAGGGGGUAGCGACUGUUUAUUAAAAACACAAGACUUUGCUAAAUUGGAAAAAUGACGUAUAAGGUCUGACAUCUGCCCAGUGGUGGGUAAUGAAAGUGACAGGAAUUUAAUUCUUGAAACAUAAGUCCCAUUCAACGGCGGCUGUAACCCUAACGGUCCUAAGGUAGCGAAAUUCCUUGUCAAAUAAGUAUUGACCUGCAUGAGUGAUGUAACGACUUCCCCACUGUCUCCAGAAUAGGUUCAGUGAAAUUGCAAUUUUCCGUGAAGAUGCGGAAUAAUUAUGGCUAGACGGAGAGACCCUGUGCACCUUAACUAUAAUUUUAUAUCGCUAGAUAGAAUUGAUUGUGUAGUAUAGCUGUGAGUUUAUGAUCCCUUUUUAUAGGUUAGACAUCAGUGAAAUAGCAGUCUUUCAAAUCUUGAUAGCUAACUUUUUGUAGUAAAAAUAAUAUGAU